rnacentral:rRNA from 1 species
GCAAAACGCGAAGAACCUUACCAAGGCUUGACAUACACCAGAACACACUAGAAAUAGGGGACUCUUUGGACACUGGUGAACAGGUGGUGCAUGGUUGUCGUCAGCUCGUGUCGUGAGAUGUUGGGUUAAGUCCCGCAACGAGCGCAACCCUCGUUCUAUGUUGCCAGCACGUAAUGGUGGGAACUCAUGGGAUACUGCCGGGGUCAACUCGGAGGAAGGUGGGGAUGACGUCAAAUCAUCAUGCCCCUUAUGUCUUGGGCUUCACGCAUGCUACAAUGGCCGGUACAAAGGGCUGCAAUACCGUGAGGUGGAGCGAAUCCCAAAAAGCCGGUCCCAGUUCGGAUUGAGGUCUGCAACUCGACCUCAUGAAGUCGGAGUCGCUAGUAAUCGCAAAUCAGCAACGCUGCGGUGAAUACGUUCCCGGGUCUUGUACACACCG